rnacentral:misc_RNA from 1 species
CCCAGCUACAUUUACGAAAGGGACAGCCACAUUGGUGGACUCUAAAACGGCAGCGUAGCUAUCUGACGACCCUCAGCGCAAAAAUGUUUAGGAACCAGUACGACACUGAUGUCACCACUUGGAGCCCCGCCGGUAGGCUCUUCCAGGUCGAAUAUAGUAUGGAGGCCGUCAAGCAGGGCUCGGCAGCAAUCGGACUCCGAUCUAAGACCCACGUGGUUCUCGC